GGACGAAAUAGCUCAGUGGUAGAGUAUGUGCCUGUUAAGCAUGAGGUCCUGGGUUCAAUCCCCAGUACUUCCA